GACGAACGCUGGCGGCGUGCUUAACACAUGCAAGUCGAACGGAAAGGCCCUGCUUUUGUGGGGUGCUCGAGUGGCGAACGGGUGAGUAACACGUGAGUAACCUGCCCUUGACUUUGGGAUAACUUCAGGAAACUGGGGCUAAUACCGGAUAGGAGCUCCUGCUGCAUGGUGGGGGUUGGAAAGUUUCGGCGGUUGGGGAUGGACUCGCGGCUUAUCAGCUUGUUGGUGGGGUAGUGGCUUACCAAGGCUUUGACGGGUAGCCGGCCUGAGAGGGUGACCGGCCACAUUGGGACUGCGAUACGGCCCAGACUCCUACGGGAGGCAGCAGGGGGGAGUAUUGCACAGUGGGCGGAAGCCUGAUGCAGCAACGCCGCGUGCGGGAUGACGGCCUUCGGGUUGUAAACCGCUUUCGCCUGUGACGAAGCGUGAGUGACGGUAAUGGGUAAAGAAGCACCGGCUAACUACGUG
rnacentral:rRNA from 1 species